rnacentral:rRNA from 1 species
GACGAACGCUGGCGGCGUGCUUAACACAUGCAAGUCGAACGGAAAGGCCCUGCUUUUGUGGGGUGCUCGAGUGGCGAACGGGUGAGUAACACGUGAGUAACCUGCCCUUGACUUUGGGAUAACUUCAGGAAACUGGGGCUAAUACCGGAUAGGAGCUCCUGCUGCAUGGUGGGGGUUGGAAAGUUUCGGCGGUUGGGGAUGGACUCGCGGCUUAUCAGCUUGUUGGUGGGGUAGUGGCUUACCAAGGCUUUGACGGGUAGCCGGCCUGAGAGGGUGACCGGCCACAUUGGGACUGAGAUACGGACCAGACGCCUACGGGAGGCAGCAGUGGAGAAUAUUGCACAAUGGGCGGAAGCCUGAUGCAGCAACGCCGCGUGCGGGAUGACGGCCUUCGGGUUGUAAACCGAUUUCGCAGGUGACGAAGAGUGAGUGACGGUAAUGGGUAAAGAAGCAACGGCUAACUACGUG